rnacentral:rRNA from 1 species
UGGCGACCGGCGCACGGGUGAGUAACGCGUAUCCAACCUGCCUUACACUCUUGGACAACCUUCUGAAAGGGAGAUUAAUACAAGAUGUUAUCAUGAGUAAGCAUUUUCACAUGAUUAAAGGUUUACCGGUGUAAGAUGGGGAUGCGUUCCAUUAGAUAGUAGGCGGGGUAACGGCCCACCUAGUCUUCGAUGGAUAGGGGUUCUGAGAGGAAGGUCCCCCACAUUGGAACUGAGACACGGUCCAA